CGAACGGGUGAGUAACGCGUGAGGAACCUGCCUCAAAGAGGGGGGGAACAGUUGGAAACGACUGCUAAUACCGCAUAAGCCCACGGCUCGGCAUCGAGCAGAGGGAAAAGGAGCAAUCCGCUUUGAGAUGGCCUCGCGUCCGAUUAGCUAGUUGGUGAGGUAACGGCCCACCAAGGCGACGAUCGGUAGCCGGACUGAGAGGUUGAACGGCCACAUUGGGACUGAGACACGGCCCAG
rnacentral:rRNA from 1 species